UCACUUUCAACAACGGAUCUCUUGGCUCUCGUAUCGAUGAAGAACGUAGCGAAGUGCGAUAAGUAAUGUGAAUUGCAGAAUUCCAUGAAUCAUCGAAUCUUUGAACGCAAAUUGCACUCUCUGGUAACCCGGGGAGUAUGCCUGUUUGAGGGUCAGUG
rnacentral:rRNA from 1 species